rnacentral:rRNA from 1 species
UUCCCUCAGUAGCGGCGAGCGAACAGGGAAGAGCCCAGCACUGAAUCUCGCGGGUUUACGCUCGCCGAGAAAUGUAGUGUUAGGGAGGGUCCGAUUAUCCCGAGGUUGUUGCGGCGCGUCCAAGUCCAUCUUGAAUGGGGCCACGGCCCGUAGAGGGUGCCAGGCCCGUAGGACCGUUGCUGAUCUCGGGAGGACCUCUCCUUAGAGUCGGGUUGC